rnacentral:misc_RNA from 1 species
GAUGAAGAACGUAGCGAAAUGCGAUACGUAAUGUGAAUUGCAAAUUCAGUGAAUCAUCGAGUCUUUGAACGCACAUUGUGCCCCCUGGUAUUCCGGGGGGCAUGCCUGUCCGAGCGUCAUUGCUGCCCUCAAGCACGGCUUGUGUGUUGGGCCCCGUCCUCCGAUUCCGGGGGACGGGCCCGAAAGGCAGCGGCGGCACCGCGUCCGGUCCUCGAGCGUAUGGGGCUUUGUCACCCGCUCUGUAGGCCCGGCCGGCGCUUGCCGAUCAACCCAAAUUUUUAUCCAGGUUGACCUCGGAUCAGGUAGGGAUACCCGCUGAACUUAAGCAUAUCAAUAAGCGGAGGA